UUUCUUUGUUUUGCUAAAUCCUCAUUUUCUCCACCGACGCCACUUUCAGCAUCGCGACCGAUCAUCAUCUUCCAUCCGACGCCGCCGAGCUCGCGAAUUCAAGACCCCCACCUGUCAACGGAAUCGACGAACAGAAGAAGUAAGUCUUCCUGAAACAGUCCCUAGCGAAUCGCCGGCGACGGCGGCGGAGACCGGCGAGCGGAGGCAACGGACUACCACCGCCGACCGAAGCCAUGGAAACUGAUGAAGCAGCAGCUUGGGUUGAACGAUUCUCUCCUGAGGUUCUGGGCUUCAUUCAGAUUGCUAUAGAUCAGCUCGAUUUUGAAUUCGAUUUUUGCGGUGCUGCAAUUGCGCGGGAACUCGAAGAAUGCGUCCGUGGAUUUGUUCGAGAGACGUUGAAUGAGGUGUUUCUUCGUAAGUUUGGUCUGUGGAUGGUUGGUAGUGAAUUCACUGGCAAUCGACGUUACACGCUGCAAAAUCAACAACAAUCCCCAGUAAGAGAUGUGCAGCAGGCGAAAGGUUUUCUAGAAAUAUUUAAUCGUGAGAAACUUCGAUUGCUGGGAUAGGGCUCUGUCUCUAUGUUUUAUGCAGCGCUUGAAGAGGCAAAACCCUUCUAGAAUGAAGAAGAUGCAGUGAGAUGGCAAGCCACCAGGAAAGUAACCGGACCUAUUUGCUUUUCUUAUGAAAGGCAAAGCUUGCUUUGGACAGCCUUGAAGUUCUAGUUGGCUAAGAAACUGAUUUUCAGUUACUAGGUGAUUUCAGAUAUGUUACCUUGUUUUCUAAUUAAGAUGAUUAGUAUUUUAGUCUAAAUUAGUGAAUGGUUUUACAGUCUACUUUACUUAUUUAUAGUAUAUUUUGAUUGAUCAGCUGUGUGAUUUUUGAGGAUGGGAGUGUUAUUGCGACAGGAAGAAACCAGAUUUAUAAGCCAUGAAAUAAUUUCCUCAAGGUGCCUGAGAGAAAAGCUCGAUUCUUGUCCAGAUCAAUUUUUGUCUGUGGAUGCUUGGUAGUGCAUCCAUUGGUAAUCGACAUUUCACGUAGCAAAAUCAGCAACAAUCCCUAGAAGGUAUAGGUUUUCUUUCUCUCUUUUCAUAGGUGGUAAUUUAUUGAAAUAAGUGGGUGAAGUCUAGGUUUAAAGGAAAAACAAGCAAGGCAGAGUGCAACAAAGGGAAGUUGGGUGUACAUGGGGUGGUUUAGUCCCCUUUUCAGGCAAAAAACAGAGUCAAUAUGUGUGCUGUAGGUUGAGAGGGAGGGAGGGAUGGAUUUGGGUGCUUUUGAGUUGUCUAGUAAAUGUGGAUGUGUAGUAUGUGCCUAUUAUAAAGAUGUGCAGUGGGUGAUAGGUUUGCCAGGACAAUUAAAUUGUCAGAAGCUCCAAUCACUGGGAUAGGACUCUGUGUUAAGUUUCAUAAGGCUUUUGAAGAGACAAAACCAGAGAGGAAUGAAGAAGAUGCAAUGAGAUGGCAAGCCACUGGGAAAGGUGUUUGCUUGACCGUGGAAUCCUUUUACCACCUUUUGACUUUAGCACCUAGGGAGAAUUUAAAACCAAAUUUCCUUGGAGCGCGACAAUAAUGUGAACAUCGGUUGUACCCAUGGAUAACUGGUUGGGUGGUUAUUUUAUUUGGCACUGUGGUGUGGAUAUGGAAAAAGAAAAAAAUCUCGAGAAACACAAGAGUUUAAAUAAGUUAUUCAGUGGAAUAGAGACAAAAUCCCAAGAUGCUGAUUGUCAAUUCUGAUUUGUGAGGGCUUCACAAUAGUUUUAGGGAUCUCUCUUUAUCCCCAUAUGCCAUAGCAUUUGUAAAGGAAAAUGACCCAGAAGCUAAAACUCCAGGAAGCUUCUUGAAUGUUUGAGUGAAACCUCAUUAACGAAAGAAAAGCCUCUGAGGUACCCAUGAUAAGACACACUGAACUGAGCAACAUGUAGUUUCUCAAUUAGUUCUCAUUUUUGCUGUGCUGUUGUUUGAGCCGUAUCAGUUUAACUGUUAGGUGGGAUUUGCAUCUGUAUUACAGGAUGAGUAUGUGGUGAGACAUGCAUUUAUUCCAUUGGUAGCUGCAUAAUGAUACUAGAACCUUUUUAC